rnacentral:rRNA from 1 species
GAUGAACGCUAGCGGCAGGCUUAAUACAUGCAAGUCGAACGGCAGCGGGUCCAGCAAUGGAUGCCGGCGAGUGGCGCACGGGUGCGUAACACGUAUGCAACCUACCUUUAACCGGGACAUAACCUCGAGAAAUCGUGGCUAAUAUUCCAUAAUAUCUUUGAAUCGCAUGGUUUGAAGAUCAAAAUUCCGAUGGUUUUAGAUGGGCAUGCGCGACAUUAGCUAGUUGGUGAGGUAAUGGCUCACCAAGGCUACGAUGUUUAGGGGGUCUGAGAGGAUGAUCCCCCACACUGGUACUGAGACACGGACCAGACUCCUACGGGAGGCAGCAGUAAGGAAUAUUGGGCAAUGGGCGCAAGCCUGACCCAGCCAUGCCGCGUGCAGGAUGACAGCCCUACGGGUUGUAAACUGCUUUUAUACGGGAAAAAACCCUCUGACGUGUCAGAGGCUGAUGGUACCGUAAGAAUAAGCAUCGGCUAACUCCGUGCAAGCCGCCGCCGUAACAC